ACUGUUAGUAAUACGAAUAAGAAAAGCAUCAUAUUUUGGUUUAGUCAGUUGCAUAAAUAAUGAUUUCAAAAACUAAAGAAAAAAUGAAUAAUUUUAUCAAUUUUCAAUGCAUAUGCCUGCUUAUUACAGGUAUGUAUGCCCACAAUACUGAAAGUCCAUCAAGUUAGAAAUGACCUAUUGAUAGAAAACUUACCACCUUAUAAAUGUCCCUCAACUCUACAUGUGAUUCAGUAGGUUGCUACUAUAUGCAUAAUAUUACUAAGUUUUUGACAUCAAUAUAAAUCCGUUUUAUGCUCCACCG
rnacentral:lncRNA from 1 species